UUUGUAAGUUUGUGUGAAACAAAUAUAUUGACGUCAGCAUCACACAUUUGAUAAUAUAUUGAAUAAACUUUUCAAAUGUUCAGACAACAUUAAAAAUUUUCAUUGUGUAUGUAGAAGCCCAAAUUAGCCCGGGCCUUUUACAAAAAUUAAGAUCCACUACCCAAACCCAAAAUUAAAAAAAACCCUAGCCCACAACCUAAACUUUUUCUCAACUAAACCCUAACCCCACUUUCUAGCCACCCUCUCCCCACUUGCCUCUAACAACUCAGCACCAUCCCCUGGCCACCCCCAUACCGUCUGCCACCACCAUGCCUCUGCCACACCUGCAAACAAGCAAAGGAAAAGGAUAAAAAAAUGGAGCAAUAAACAGUAACAGAAUAUUGUAUUUUUGGCUAUAAAAGCCACAAGCAAAACGGAAUGUGGGGGUUUUUUUUAUUUUUUAAGAAAGAUUGUAACACAGAUAUUAGAAAUCAAAACGGAUACAAAAACAAAAAAGGAGAAUCAAAGUUCAAGAGGUUUAGUUUUGUUCUUUUUUUUUCCUUUUUUUUGUUCUCUACUUACCUUGUUUUUUUUUUCAUAUUUAUUCAUGGUUUUUUUCCCUUUCUUUUUUCAAGAAAACCUUUUUUUUUUUACAAAGAAACAAAAAAAAAUUUUAAAGUAGGCGUACCUAGGUUCCGCUCCUUCGCUGUACACGGCGAUCACCACCGUCGUCGGUGGCGAUGGGGCGGGUCUCUGAGUAACCCAAUCGACGGAAAGAAAAAGGGGGAGGGGAAGAGAGCAUAGAAGCUUUUUGUUCUUUUUUUUAGAUUGGGGGUUGAAAAUGAAACACAAAAAAAAAUCUUUGUUUUUA
rnacentral:lncRNA from 1 species